GACGAACGCUGGCGGCGUGCUUAACACAUGCAAGUCGAACGAGUGGCGAACGGGUGAGUAACGCGUAGGUAACUGCCUGGUAGCGGGGGAUAACUAUUGGAAACGAUAGCUAAUACCGCAUACUACCAGAUGGACCUGCGUUGUAUUAGCUAGUUGGUGGGGUAACGGCUCACCAAGGCAACGAUACAUAGCCGGCCUGAGAGGGUUGUCGAGCACACGGGGAAUGGGACAAGGCCCCGACUUCUACGGGAGGGAGGAGUAGGGAAACUUCGGAAAUGGGGGGAACCCCUGCCGAGCAACGGCGCGUGAGGGAAGAAGGUUUUCGGAUCGGUAAGCUCUGUUGUUAAGGAAGCGGUACUUAACCAGAAAGGGACGGCUAACUACGUGCCAGCAGCCGCGGUAAUUC
rnacentral:rRNA from 1 species